GACAGAGGGUGCAAACGUUGUUCGGAAUUACUGGGCGUAAAGCGCACGUAGGCGGCUUUGUAAGUUAGAGGUGAAAGCCUGGAGCUCAACUCCAGAAUUGCCUUUAAGACUGCAUCGCUUGAAUCCAGGAGAGGUGAGUGGAAUUCCGAGUGUAGAGGUGAAAUUCGUAGAUAUUCGGAAGAACACCAGUGGCGAAGGCGGCUCACUGGACUGGUAUUGACGCUGAGGUGCGAAAGCGUGGGGAGCAAACAGG
rnacentral:rRNA from 1 species